rnacentral:hammerhead_ribozyme from 1 species
AUCCGGUUGACGAGUCCCAAAUAGGACGAAAUGCUCGUCAAACUGGAU